rnacentral:rRNA from 1 species
AAUGAACGCUGGCGGCAGGCUUAACACAUGCAAGUCGAGCGGAGAUGAGGUGCUUGCACCUUAUCUUAGCGGCGGACGGGUGAGUAAUGCUUAGGAAUCUGCCUAUUAGUGGGGGACAACAUUCCGAAAGGAAUGCUAAUACCGCAUACGUCCUACGGGAGAAAGCAGGGGAUCUUCGGACCUUGCGCUAAUAGAUGAGCCUAAGUCGGAUUAGCUAGUUGGUGGGGUAAAGGCCUACCAAGGCGACGAUCUGUAGCGGGUCUGAGAGGAUGAUCCGCCACACUGGGACUGAGACACGGCCCAGACUCCUACGGGAGGCAGCAGUGGGGAAUAUUGGACAAUGGGGGGAACCCUGAUCCAGCCAUGCCGCGUGUGUGAAGAAGGCCUUAUGGUUGUAAAGCACUAUAAGCGAGGAGGAGGCUACUGAGACUAAUACUCUUGGAUAGUGGACGUUACUCGUCAGAAUAAGCACCGGCUAACUCU